AGCAAAGCUACAGUAGAUAGGAAAAAAAAAUUAGAGUGAAUGCUAUUGGUUUGUCUCGCAGAGUAGGUAGGAAAAAAAAUCAUUCUCGCAGAAUUUAGAGUGAAUGCUAUUGGUUUGCCUCCAGAACAUAGUUUAUUUUUUUUCUGAGUUUGCAGAGUCACGGGUUGAAGAUGCUCAAAAUUUCGCUCUUUUUCUGAGUUUGAGGUUUGCUUUAGUCAGGCAUAUUUAUUGGAGUAGGUAGGACCCGGACUAAAUAAUUCAAGACUCGUUUAGUUGUUACAAACUCAAUAAUUCAAGGCUUAGUUUAUUAUGGCCAGUUUGCUUGGAUGGAGGGGUCAUGUCCACAGGGUCUCUUUUGUAUCUUCAUUUCUCGUGAGUGGAUGGCGCCACCGACGGGCUCUUCUUCCUCUUCUACCACUCCAUCAUCCAAAAAAGGACAAGCAAAACCCCCCAAAAGCCUGGGAAAAAUACCUAUCCUUUUUCUCAUUUCCACCAACACAAAACAGACAAUACCAUCUUCUCAGCCUCCAAUACAAAAACCAAAAAACACAAGAAAAAUCGGUACUUUUUACAUCAACCUGAGACUAAAAACACAGCCAGCUCCUCAUCCUCCAAAACCCAAAAAACAUAACCAAAACAUUGAAAGCUUCCUCCUUUCUACUCUCUACCAUCAAGCCCAAAAAUAAAACCUAGCAAAGGUCCCUCCUUUUUGCCAUUUACUCAACAACCACCAACAAGGAUGCCAAACAGAGGGUGGAAGAAGAAGAAGACAACCUCCACAAAAAGCAAAGCAAUGAGGAGAAAGCAAUAACAGAGAGCAGUGGGAAGAAGAUCAAGCAUAAAACCAAAGAACAGGUGAAUGCAAUUUGCAUCCAAGGGUAUAGAGUCCCUCUGCCGAUAAUAGAAUUACAGUCUCCUGUGAUGCAGCAAUGAAGUCUCACCCAAAGGAUAUGGCUGCCACUGCCUUUGUUGGGAGGGACAAGCGUUGUAUUCCCCUAUUUGCUGGAGUGUACCAGGAUAUAAGUUCAAGAGAAAUCAAAACACUCAAUUGGAGGGAGAGUCCUUAAGGCUUUGGACAACUUAUUUAACUCAGAAAAAAUCCAUGACCGAUUUACGUGUAGAGACUGACCUGGACGGGCUCCCAAAUUUACUGAAGUCUGGAAAAAGAAAAAAAGAUGUAGCUGCAAAUCUAAGUUGGAGCUUUUUAAAUGACUUUAAAGCAACAGUUGUAAGACCAAACAAGAUUUCUUUUGGACCUGUCCAAGGUUCGGUGAAUCUGGUGGCCCACCACUUGUCACAAAUUGGAUGUUUCUACCAAUUUCUUGACAAGAGAGGUGAUCAGAAUGUAAAAGUUUGGGUGUUUAGGAAGGAUUUGAAGAGCGUAGCUCCCUACAAGAUCAAAGUUUUGAAGUACCUCACAAGUUAUGUGGAAGUGAAUAUUGUUGAGCACACUGCUCCAAGAGAACUGAAAGUGAUUUUAGCUCUAGACCUUUGCAAGCGGCAUUUGAAUCCAGUCUAUUUAAUUGAGAAGAAAGUCUCUGAGGAUGUUAUGAAAAUAUCUAAACAAUUAUCCACUUCCACAUAAUUGUUUAGGUAUUUUCAUAACUUUCUCAAGGACUUUCUUCUCAAUUAAAUAGACUGGAUUCAAAUGCCGCUUGCAAAGGUCUAGAGCUAAAAUCACUUUCAGUUCUCUUGGAGCAGUGUGCUCAACAAUAUUCACUUCCACAUAACUUGUGAGGUACUUCAAAACUUUGAUCUUGUAGGGAGCUACGCUCUUCAAAUCCUUCCUAAACACCCAAACUUUUACAUUCUGAUCACCUCUCUUGUCAAGAAAUUGGUAGAAACAUCCAAUUUGUGACAAGUGGUGGGCCACCAGAUUCACCGAACCUUGGACAGAACCAAAAGAAAUCUUAUUUGGUCUUACAACUGUUGCUUUAAAGUCACUUAAAAAGCUCCAACUUAGAUUUGCAGCUACAUCUUUUUUUCUUUUUCCAAACUUUAAGUAAAUUUGGGAGCCUGCCCAGGUCAAUCUCUACACGCAAAUCGGUCAUGGAUUUUUUCUGAGUUAAAUAAGUUGUCCAAAGCCUUAAGAACUCUCCCUCCAAUUGAGUGUUUUGAUUUCUAUUGAACUUAUAUCCCCAGUACGCUCCAGCAAAUAGGGGAAUAUUGUCCCUCCCGACAAAGGCAAUGGUAGCCAUAUCCUUUAAUAUACAUUGUUGAGUGGGGUAGUUUUGAGCAUGAUUUUGUUGAAGAAGAGAAGGCAACUGAGCUGAAGCACCUAUGAAACAAGAACAUGGAAAUAUAAUGUGGAAGGCAAAGUUGAUUUUGAUGAGCGGACUUAGCAAGAAUGCUCUGGAUGAGUUGUCAUCUGAAAAAAGUUCUGAUGAUUGCAUGCCCCACAUUUGCAAUAUCUCCGGUUUGCCUUGCUUAAAAAGGACCAGUCUUUCAUGACACUUGGUGGUCAAUGGAAUCCUGCUGAUGGUGUUGACCCAUCAGUUGAUGAUACCUCUUUAAUUCAAACAGUCCAUAGGGUUGUGCUGUCGGAAAUUUGUUGUAGAGGAUAUCUAGAAAUUAUGUUCUUCAAAUGACCUGAUGUUAUUUUUACUUUGUGGAUAUGCAAAAGAUGUUACUCAACUUGAUUUGCAGAACUGCUGUCAUUGGAAUUGUUUUCUUAAGGUGUUUGCAGAUACACUAUGACAGACUUGGCAAGGAUGGACUUUUUAGCCAUUAGGAGGUCACUGUACUAUUUGUUCCAGAUUUUUCUGAAUGUCUCCCUUCUUUGGAUGCAUGGAGAGACCAAUGAGCAAUGGCUUGCUCACAAGAAGGCUGUUGCAGAGAGGGAGCGCCAACUUUCUGUGAAAAAAGAGAGGUCUAAUGAGAAGAAAGAUGGGCUGAAAGGUAAAUUGUUGUGCAUGGUCUCAUUUUAUUUGAUAACUCUUUUCUUCUUAUGUUAGUCAUCAGUAAUCAAAUUGAUUUCAUUUUUUGGGGGGCUUGUAAUUUAGAUAAGGAAAAGGAUUCCUAAAAAGAUGUCAAAAGACUAGACAAAUCGGGAAAAAAAGAAAAGAGUCCACAUCCUCUGGACAAGCAGAAGAUUCUAACAAAAGGGAGAAAAAUGGAAAUGGUCUGAAAGGAAUUACUACAGCUGAAGAAAAGGGUGAUUGGAUGAGAAGGAUAAUGGACUGAAGAAUGUAAACUCAGAGAUACCUGAUCAACAGGAUAAAUCAGUUGCUCCACUAAAACAUUUGUAAGAAAAAAGGUGGUAAAAAGGUUCAAGCAGGAAAAAUUGUUCAGAAUGAAGGUACUGAAGAUAAACCAAAGGAUAAUUCAGAUCCAAGCAGUGCUGCAGUUGUGGAAGGUACCAGUGUAAAAACAACUGUGGAGAAAAAAAUAAUUAAGAGGAUAGCCAAAAAAAGGUCUCUGGUUUGGAAUCCAGUGAUGGGUUUUCUGGAACUAAGAAGACGCUGAUGGGGAUGAAAUAAAGGUAGUUCAGGCAGUGCAUGAAACCAAAAACACACAGAGGCAAGCAGCAGAUGCUGAAAAUCUGGUCAGUGAGGUCAAAAGAUCUGAAAAGAAAACAGUUCCCAAGACUGUCUCCAAAACUGUUGCCACUAAGAAGCAAGGAGAUGGCAAUUCAAGCAAAACAGAGAUAAAGGCUGACAAGGAUGAUAGGGACGAUGAAAGAAAAAGUGGUGAGAAAAGUGGCGUGGUGUCUAAAGUGGAGACUGAUGCUGACAAGAAGAAAGUUCCUCAAAAUGAUGGCAAGAAGGGAAAAUUAAAAGAUGGGGAUAAAUCUAAAGAUGAGAAAGUGAGAAAAGACAAUGAUGGAAAAGAUGACUCUAGAAGCAAAUCAAAUAAAGAUUUGAAAGAAAAGAGAGCCUGAAGAACCUCCUCGGCACCCUGGAUUUAUUUUACAAACCAAAUGGAGCAAGGAAUCCAAACUUCGUUCAUUUUCACUUUCACCGGAUUCACUCCUGGAUUAUACUGAUAAGGACAUGCAAGAAUCAAAAUUUGAGAUUUGUUCUGCUUCAUCCACUUCUCUUAUAUGCUGUCUCUCUCUCUCUGUGAGCUUGUAUAACUAGCAAGAUCAUGUUUCUUGUAGUUGUCAUUAUUUGCUGAAUCGUUGUAUGAAAUGCUUCAAUAUCAGAUGGGUAGUCGUAUUUUAACAUUUCUACAGGUUUGCUGUGGACUAUGUCAAUAUGCAUAAUACUUGCUUCCUUUCUUGAGGCAUCCUCAUUUACAUGCUUAUUUUUUGGGCGAGAGCGCAGAAACUACGUCUAGAAUUUGUGACAAAAACAUAAGAGGCAACGGGAUGAAAUUCAAGAAAAGGAAAGGGAUAAAAAAUCACCAGUGAAGCGAGCAAAGACUAGUGAUCUCCCUGUGAAAGAGCAAGAUAUCAAGUCUGAAACGUUGAACACAGCUCAACCAGAUGAAGACAAAACCAAGGUCAAGGAGGAGGAUAAAACUGUUGAUCAUGUUGAUGAGGUGAAGAUAUGAGGUUGAAGAUAUGAGGUUGAUCAUCCACAACUUGGGGAAGUUCCUCUCACACAGGGAUGCGAAGGAACUUGUGCAAAGUGCAUUGUUAGAGAGCAACAACAGCAGGGAUGACCGCAUUCUUUACGAUAAGCUAGUGCGAAUGUCUGUUAUUUGAGAUUGGCAGGGUCUUCAUGUUUUCUUGAAAAUGAAUUUCAGUAUGACAUUGCCUUAUUAUGGCCCUAGAAAGGGGACAGAUUCUUACAGGGUUUUGGUUUGCAUUUGGAUUGUUCUCCGGUUGAUUUCUUUUAAUGCCUGUCAAAAAGUUUUCAAUACGCUAAGUGUUGUGCCAGUUGAGCUACAUGGCUCUUGGCAAAUCAAAAUCAUUAUUUUGAAGAUAAGUCAUUUAUAAUUUUUUAGA